rnacentral:rRNA from 1 species
UACGGAGGGUGCAAGCGUUAUCCGGAUUCACUGGGUUUAAAGGGUGCGUAGGUGGGUCUGUAAGUCAGUGGUGAAAUCUCCAAGCUUAACUUGGAAACUGCCGUUGAUACUAUAGAUCUUGAAUGCUGUGGAGGUGAGCGGAAUAUGUCAUGUAGCGGUGAAAUGACUUAGAUAUGACAUAGAACACCAAUUGCGAAGGCAGCUCACUACCCAGAUAUUGACACUGAGGCACGAAAGCGUGGGGAUCAAACAGG